GGGAUUGUAGUAUAGUGGUCAGUACUUCUCGUUGUGGUUCUUCGUAUACACAACGAUCCGAGAGGACCCCGGUUCGAUUCCGGGCAAUCCCA
rnacentral:tRNA from 1 species